GUGAGAGUUGGAGGACAGGGUCAAAACUGGAAUAAUUGGGAAAACUGCCACCGCCACCCAGAAGUGAGCGCACAAUCUCAGGGAGAGGCAGAGAACGGGGUGGACCUGCAGCCGUAACCACCCAGACAGAAUUGGAGGAGGAGACCUUGAAGGGUGACAAGGUCCUUCAAGGGUGACAGCAGACCUACUAUGGGAGGAGGCUGAGGACUCCUCCGUGGAGCUUUGGCACUCUGAGGAUACACCAUCAUAUGACUCCUGUGCCUUCUCCACCAUGACAGAUACACAGCUCAAUGAGUACUGCCAAUACACACCUCAAAUCACAGAAUCUUAAUGGCACAGAAGGAGGCUAUUUGGCUCAUCAUGUCUGCAC